UGUGUGGAGUUCAGGGUAAGUUUCCAUUUUUGAUCCUGGAAGGCUUCCAAGGAAGUGGCCUUCACUGAUUCUGAGACUGGGCGUUCCUUUAUGACCAUGAUCACAUGCAAGUGCAUUUCAUAGAAGCAAUGAAACUGUCAAGCUAGAGAAAGCAGCUUCUGGACACGCAGCUUUCCCAGAAGCUCUAAGCAGACCGAGGAAAUGCCUUUCCGCAGUGAAUAAGAUGUCUGUAGACUCCGUCACUUUCAGAAAAUGUCAAACUCCUGCUGGAAGUUACAGAAACACCCAAGAGGAGAAUGUAAGAGAGGCGGGUGUGUAAUGCUGGACACCUGCAGGAUGCCUUGGACAGAGGAUCUCUACAUACAAACCUGGAAACAUUAUGAGCAGUAAUGAAGGCCUUGAGCUGUAAUUAUGAAGACUUCAAAUCUCCCUAGUGACAUCAGCUGGUUAAAAAAAUUUGGAUCACAGGAGUAAUGUAACCCAGAGUCGGCUUUCUGCAGCAUUGUUCACAGUCCAGAGAAAGUCAUUCUAUACAAAACAGUCUUCUCUCCUCAUCCAGACAAGAAGAAACAAGACAGUCAACAAGAAACCAGAGCAGAAGAACAGAGGCAAUGAAGGUGUGACAAAACUGAGACUGAGAUGGAGAAAGACAAAACCAGAGUUUGGAAGUUCCUUGGGACACCACAUCCCUGCCACCCAGCAGCAGAAACUAGAAAAACACUACUUCAACUAACUUGUAAUUGGAUACAAGAUACUAAUUACAUAAAGCAUGCGCAUUGAUGGCACGACAUCAGUGCACUGAAAGACAGUUUCUCCUAGACAACGUGCCUCCUGCACGUCAAACUGAUGACUGUCUUUUGGUCAAGAACGUGUUCAAGUGGGAGUCCGACCAGUUUCAGCAUGUUACUGGCAGGAGGCACUGCUCGAGUGGGUUCCUGUGUCCGACUCACACUGUGGUGCUGGAGCCCCUAUCUGCACGUACUGCACUGCCACAGUGCCUGUCUCCAUUCUUAAUGUCAGAACUGUCCUGGUCUGCAACUGUGUCUAUUUUCUGAAGUAAAUGACUUUCACCUCUGGCAUACUUCUGUGCG